rnacentral:lncRNA from 1 species
AUUUGCCUUAUGAAAUAAACAUAUGUUAUUUUAUCUAUUUGGCCACAGUUGGUGAUGUUAAUGAGACCUUCCUAAAAAUGGGAAUUUGGUGUUGGUCUUAAUCAGAAACCUGAAGGCAGGCAUAGUAUUAUUCCAAAGGGAGCAAAUGUGGUUUACUCCUGAAUGUUUCAGACUCUUCACUUGAACACUUUCUUGAUCCCAUGUAAAAUUUUUGCAUGGUCAGUUUUAACAUAACAACUUACAUCCAUUCUAACCCUUAAUGUCAGUCCAAUAGUUCUGUGAUCAGAAAGUAAUUGUAUUAAAUCUAUCAAAUUUCCAGGACCCUUGCAAGCAACUUUGAAACAGAGCAUGUGAGCCACAAUGAGGUACUAUUCAUUACAGUAUUAGGGCUGGACAGGUGUCAUGAUGGAUAUGCAUCAGAGCAACAAUCUGUUCCUGAACUUCAAAGAAAUGGAGC